rnacentral:lncRNA from 1 species
GUGAACCCAUACCUGUAAAACUACCCAUACGAGCCGAAGGCCCAAGGGCAAUAUCUAUACGCCUAAAAGCCACGGAGAACAGGAAACACCGCGUCAUGUGUGACUCUGACCACUAAAAUGCGAUACGGGAGAACACACGCGCGUGCGCAGAAUUUGAAGGAAGGCUUGAUGACAUCGUUUCGGGAACCGAACUGCCAACGUCGGUAUGAUGGCGCGCCCAAAACGUCGAGCCUCUGUGAGGACAUACGUUACUAUACGGCCGGGGAUUCACUCCGUUUGAAACCGGGGCAGUACAACGACCUCCACGACCGCAAAUUGAGGCACAUUGCAGAGCUGCCCCGGCGAGGUGAAAUUCUGCAGGACAACGUCGCCGAGCUCUGCACGUAAUAAAACACGGACGGUUGGGAUAGCUGUAGGUUUGAUUGGCAUUGUUUAAGAAGACGAACUCGACUUUCAGAGUGGGUGCGGCUGCUCAGCAUUCUCUUGCAGAGGGAAAGCAUCCGUACCGAUACCCGAAACGCAGAUAGCUCUUCUGCGGUAUUUGUUCGAAUAAUACCACAUGACGUCGUGUCUUGGAAAGGACUGCAGCCGUAAGCACGGUACUGCAGCGAGGAAAACUGCUGUCGGACCGCCGCAAACGCGGCGAGUCCGAAAUCGGUCGUAAAUAUGCCUGUAGUUGCAGAUUGGCCCGGAUAGGCCCGGCAGGGCACCGUUCUUCACGGGCUGCACAUGUUUGCCUAUGUGGCGGAGGCUUUGCACCUUGUAGCAGUCAACACCGUUGGGGGAUUACCUUCAAGGGGUGCGCAAGGACUCACCUGGGCCCGGACUUGCGAUUCGUUCGCUCCUGCCGUCCUGCUCUUACCGUCAGC